rnacentral:piRNA from 2 species
UCAGUAAGCCCCGUACUCUGUGGUGAC